AAGCCCUUUUAUUAAUCAUCUGCGUGAUCUUACUCAGUGACUAAUAAAGAGCUUGC
rnacentral:pre_miRNA from 1 species